rnacentral:rRNA from 1 species
GGACCCGCACAAGUAGUGGAGCAUGUGGUUUAAUUCGAAGAUACGCGCAGAACCUUACCAACACUUGACAUGUUCGUCGCGACUUUAAGAGAUUAAAGUUUUCGGUUCGGCCGGACGAAACACAGGUGCUGCAUGGCUGUCGUCAGCUCGUGUCGUGAGAUGUUGGUUAAGUCCCGCAACGAGCGCAACCCUCACUUUUAGUUGCCAUCAUUUAGUUGGGCACUCUGAAAGAACUGCCAGUGAUAAGCUGGAGGAAGGUGGGGAUGACGUCAAGUCCUCAUGGCCCUUACGUGUUGGGCUACACACGUGCUACAAUGGUCGGUACAGAGGGCAGCUACCGGGUGACCGGAUGCG